CGUCUAUUUAUAAACUAUUAAAUUGUGUGUUUUUAUUGUAUUUUUAUUCAGUUACGUUAUUCGAUUACUUGGUAAAUUAAACAUUUAAGUAUACUUGUAUUUUUAUUAAAUUAUAUUAUAAAUAUUGGGAUUAAGUUAUUGAGAUUUUAAAAAAAUAAAUAUAUUAUUUAGAAAUAAACAUAAAAAUAAUGAAGCAAGUUAAAGAAACAUUCAAAAUAAGUACAUAUUAUUGCAUAUUUUAUUUAGCAAACCUAAUUUAAGUUAUUGAAUUGGCCAUUUUGUUAAGAUAAAUAUUUUUUUAAAAAUUAAUCACAAACAUUAGAAUUUUUAAUUUCAAACUUAAAACUACUCUCUAAAGUUAGAUCUACAUUGGAAAAAAAAAAUCAAUGGUUGAAAAUGAGAGUGUAUGGAGGAUUGCUAAUACUGACCAUUGAUUAGAAAAUUUCAAGGGUCCAUAUUCAUUCAAUCUGUGCUUCUUCUUCUCUCUCGCCUCUUUUAUUUCCCCUCUUUUCAAUGGUUACAUAUAAAUCUCUUUGUUCAUCACAGACUCACAUCACAGAUUGACAAAUUAUUAUAGCAUUUUUUUGUUUUGCUAUCUCUUUAUAUUUUUUGUUUUACAUACAGAUAUUUCUUUUCUUUAUAUUCUCUUCAUCUCCACAAAUGAAAAAGGCACAGACACAGCAAGCAUUAACUUCCAUAACGUUUUUGCCUCUCUCUCCCCAAGACUACCUUCGACGGUGAGAUUUGAAUAUGUAAAUGUUGUCUGAUGAACCGUAGGUGGUGACAUGAGAAUCAAUAUCUUGAUGAACCGGAGGCGGUGGCUCAUGCCGUCACGGGAUUGAUCUUGUAGAAAUCUCAAGUUGGUCGUAUGAAUCAAGCUCGUCACCGGUUUCAAGGUUGUUGUUGGUCUCCUCGUCGCCGGAUCAAGCUCACCGCCAGUCUCGUCACCGUAUUCAAGCUCACUGCCAGUCUCGUCACCGUAUUCAAGGACAAUUAUAUGAUCUAGCUCACGGACAAUGAACAGAGGAGGCCAUGGCCGACGGUGGAUGUGCUGAAGCCGACGGGUUUAAUUUGUAAAGAUCACAUCAAAUUUAUUUAGAUGGUUUACUAAUGUUUUGGUUUAGUAAUUAUAUGGUUUAGUAAGGACAAUGAACGCCCGUGUUUUAUGCCAAUAGCAUGCAAUGGUAAUUUAAAAAAUAAUCGGGGU
rnacentral:lncRNA from 1 species